ACUCUGAGUAAAUAGAAAGCCAUUGGAGGGUUUUAAGCAGAGGAGGAACAUGCUCUGACUUAUGAUUUCGAAAGAUCACUGUUGAGAAUAGACUGUAAGGGGGCAAUGGUGAAAGUUGAUAGACCAUUAAUAGUCUAGAUGAGAGAUGACCAUGUCUUCGAUGAGGGGGUAGGAGUGAUGAUGAUGAUAAAUUAUUGGAUUUUGGAUAUAUUUUGAAGGCAGAACCAAUAGGCUUUUCUGAUGAAAAUGAUGUGAUAUGAGAAAAAAAUGACAAAAAGGUUGUGGGUGAUGAUGAGAGAAGAGAAUACAAGGCCAAAGAGAAGGGAUUUCCCUUGUUGUGGAGGAGUCUCACUCACCUUGAAGCAGGAGGGAAAGCAGGGAUCUGGGUGGAAAAAGAUCUAGAGAAUCCUCAUCUAAGCAGAAGAUGAAGGAGUAAAGAGAGAAAGAUGGGUGUAUUGGAAGCUUGCGGGUGAUGGAGAAAGUUUCAAAUAAUUCUUGGAAAAUAAGUUGAAAAAAGAAACGUAACACAGUUGUUAGAGCAGGGCAUGAUUGCUUGUGCCUAUAGUCCCAGCUACUUGGGAUCCUGAGGCAGGAGGAUCUCUUGAGCCCAGGAGAUGGAGGCUGCGUUGAGCUGUGUUUAUGCCACUGCACUCCAGCCUAAGCGACAGAGCAAGACUCCAUUUCUUAAAAAUAAAACAAAAAUGUAGUUGUUAGUAUUGAGGGCCCAUAAGAAGUUGGUGAUGAUGAACCUAUCUACGCUUUUGAUCACCUCCAGCAGAGUUUGACUGUUGCGUGCAAGCAAAGAGAAAGGAGAUGGCGGGGUUCAAUGAGGGCUGUCGUUUUCCUAGAUAGGUUUGUAGAAAAAACAGAGAGGAAGGGAGUUUAAGGGAUUGGCAAAAAGGAUAUAGUAAUAACAGACCAUGGAAUAAAAAUUGAGUAAGAAGGAAAGUGAAAACAGCUGAAGGCUAAUGAAUUGGGAGAAAGCAGAUGGAUCAAUAGACUGGAGGCCCCAAUAUUUCUAAGAGCAGUUGGAGUUGUUGUCAUGCAAGUUGGAAGGAAAGAUGCUUAUCCAAAAGCUGAAUGCCUGAAUCAGUAAUCUUGCGGCAGAGCUAUUGUAGGUGAUGACAAGGUCAGUCCUUUGAAGUCUAUGCAUAUAUAUCUUCAUUAUAGGCUGACUUGCCAAGUCUUAGAAUUUUUACAAUAUAACCUCACUGUGGAUCUCAUCUAAGCAGGUUUGGUAACCAAAAGCUCAAGAGCGUGAGAUUGAGACCCCAGAGAGCUCAUAGCCUGUCACAAACCAGCUGUGUAACCACGGACCUUGAGGAAAUGAACCUUAUGGUCCCUUCCGUCUCUAAUCUGUGACUCCAUAGCCCCAUUAUAAUAUAGCCUUUUCCCAAACACUGACCUUCAACAUAGACCCUGGGGGAUUUUUCUAUUAAAAAUUUGCAACUCUGCACAUUUUUAUCUGCUGAUGCCUCUUGGAAUAUUAAAUGCUUAGAAAGCUGUCGUCGGGAUCACAUUCUGGAAUCUUGACCAUGUAGUCAUCUGAGUGGGUGUGACAGGAAGUAUACACCAGCAGCAUUUGUGUCUGAGUGUCCUUCAGACACUGGGAUGGCUGCACCUUUACCCGUCCUCUCCAACUCUCUCCACCUAGAAAGUAUUCUUUUCUCUUAAUUUUGUUAGAGUUAUAUAGGAAUGCUCCUUCAGCAGAAAUGACAGAGGCUGUUGCUCUCAGAAUCAAAUGCAAUAAUGUGACCUGUAAAUUCCUGUGAAUAUUUGGAUAUUUUAGCGAUAUUUGUUUAUUCAGAAGAGAUUCUGGAUGCAGAACUCUCCUCCUCUCUGUUCUCUAACCCUGCUUUCCACCAUCAUUCUUCUCUCUCUAGGGCACAGAGAGAAUUAAGAACAACCUAAGGGUCAUUACAAUGAUCUAACUGCCUUACCUGCUUUUGAACUGGUUGAGCCUCUUGUGGGACCGAAAACAAAAGAAGGGUGUUGAAAUGCAAAUAGAUAACUCUGGGUCCCAGUCCCUGACUGCAAAAGGAAGCCAAAACUGACAACAACGUCUCCUUCUCUACGGAGGUUUGUAGAAAGGCUGUACAAAAAUCUCACAAGAUGUAUUUCUUCUCGUGGACUGGAGUCCCAAGGUGCUUAAGAGCUCUUCAAUUUGUUAAUGGAAAGAAACACCAUUUACACCGGAUGGCUACAAAGCAACCUUAUUCUGAGAGAGAGGAUCUCAUUCUGUCACCCAGGCUGGAGUGCAUGAUCAUAGCUCACUGCAGCCUCGACCUCCUGGGCUCAAGUGAUCCUCCUGCUCCAGCCUCUCAAGUAGCUAGGACUACAGAUCUUUUCUCAGAAUAGCAGUCUGUAGGCUGUCACCUAAAGUGUCCUGUUUUCAGUGCUGCACCUGCUCUGAGCUUCAUCUUUUUACGAAGACGUCAUGGUGUGCUAUCUGUACUGGGAAACUUUCCCCAGCAUCAGCCAUCUCCUGAAGAUAACAUUGUCUGCUAGAGAUUGUCAUGUAUGUGGAUUGAAUCUCUUUAUCUUCAUGAGGGAGAUUUGAGACAGGAGAAGAGAAGACACGAAGGAGGGAAGGAAGUGAUGUGACCACAGAGGCAGCGAUUGGAGUGAUGUAGUCACAAGCCAAGGAGCACCAACAGCCACCAGGAGCUGGAAGAGCCCAAGAGUAUAUACUAAUACCUGGAUUUGGGACUUGGGACUUCUGGUCUCUAGAAGUAGGAAAGAAUAAACAUCUGUUUUUUGUUUGUUUGUUUGUUUUUUCUUUUUUUUGAGUCAGGGUCUUGCUCUGUCACCCAGGUUGAAGUGCAGGGGUGUGAUCACGGCUCACUGCAGCCUUGACCUCCUGGUCC
rnacentral:lncRNA from 1 species